AUUGAACGCUGGCGGCAUGCCUUACACAUGCAAGUCGAACGGUAACAGGUCUUCGGAUGCUGACGAGUGGCGAACGGGUGAGUAAUACAUCGGAACGUGCCUAGUAGUGGGGGAUAACUACUCGAAAGAGUGGCUAAUACCGCAUGAGAUCUACGGAUGAAAGCAGGGGAUCGCAAGACCUUGUGCUACUAGAGCGGCCGAUGGCAGAUUAGGUAGUUGGUGGGAUAAAAGCUUACCAAGCCGACGAUCUGUAGCUGGUCUGAGAGGACGAUCAGCCACACUGGGACUGAGACAUGGCCCAGGCUCCUACGGGAGGCAGCAGUGGGGAAUUUUGGACAAUGGGCGCAAGCCUGAUCCAGCAAUGCCGCGUGCAGGAUGAAGGCCUUCGGGUUGUAAACUGCUUUUGUACGGAACGAAAAGCCCUGGGUUAAUACCCUGGGGUCAUGACGGUACCGUAAGAAUAAGCACCGGCUAACUACGUGCCAGCAGCCGCCGUAA
rnacentral:rRNA from 1 species